rnacentral:rRNA from 1 species
AAGGAAAGAGGGAGGUAUGCCUAACACAUGCCAGUCGAACGAGACCUUCGGGUCUAGUGGCGCACGGGUGCGUAACGCGUGGGAACCUGCCCUUAGGUUCGGAAUAACUCCCCGAAAGGGGUGCUAAUACCGGCUAAUGUCUUCGGACCAAAGAUUUAUCGCCUUUGGAUGGGCCCGCGUUGGAUUAGCUAGUUGGUAGGGUAAAAGCCUACCAAGGCGACGAACCAUAGCUGGUCUGAGAGGAUGAUCAGCAACACUGGGACUGAGGCGCGUCCCAGACUCCUACGGGAGGGAGCAGAGGGGAAUAUUGGACGAUGGGCGAAAGCCUGAUCCAGCAAUGCCGCGUGAGUGAUGACGGCCUUGGGGUUGUAAAGCUCUUUUACCCGGGAUGAUACUGACAGUACCGGGAGAAUAAGCGACGGCUAGCUCCGUG